CUCCUUCCCCUGGUAAACACUCAGAGGCGGCCCGGUGUCCUGAGGCCCUCAGCGAUCCGCUCGGCGUUUCUUGGUUCCUCCUGGUGCCGUUGAGCCGGUUUGGGUCGUCAGUUCCAGGGUCACCAGUCUCCCGAUCAGUAUUCAACACCAAACGGAGCCGAGGAACAUCUGGACACAUGAACAUGUCAUCCUUCUACACAGAAGAACCAGCUGGACACUAGCAGCAAAACGACAUCAGCGAUGGCGCAGGAGUGAGAUCAGCCCGGCUCCAGCUGUAAACAUCUGUCUGUUGAGGAAGAGGAAGGGAUGGGAGGAAGAGUGUGCAGGGAGGAGGCGAAGGAGGAGAAAAGGCGGGGUCCAGGCAGAGAGGACAGCCUGAUGUCUGCAGACAAAAUCAGAAGAUUCACCAAGCAGUCUGGACACAACGUCCUGAGCCUGGCCCGCCGUGGACUCAAGGACGCUCCGGGGGAGCUGUGGGAGCUGCUGGAGCUGGAGAAGCUGAACCUGUCCCUCAACAACCUGAAGGCGCUGCCUCCUCAGAUGGCCCUGCUGUCCAACCUGCUGGUCCUCAACCUGUGGGGGAACCAGCUCGGCAGCCUGCCGGCCGAGAUCGGCCAGCUGAGGAGACUCCGGGUUCUGUUCGUCUACAGAAACAGACUGACGGAGGUUCCUGAGGAGUUGGGGGCCUGCACACAGCUGGAGGUCCUGAGUCUGGCCAACAACCAGCUCUCCUCGCUGCCGGCUUCUCUCUCCAACCUGACCAAACUCAGGAAGCUCAACCUCAGCCACAACCUCAUGACUCACCUGCCUGGCUGCAUUUACAGCAUGAAGGCCCUGGUCUUCCUGGAUCUGUCCUGCAACCGUCUGGAGAACGUGGCUGAGAACAUCCAGGCUCUGCUGGAGCUCAAGAUCCUCAUCAUGGAGGGAAACCACCUCCACUCUCUGCCCAGAGGCCUCUGCUUCCUCACCAGGCUGGAGCUGCUCAACCUGGACUUUAACUACAUCAGAGACCUUCCUGAGCAGUUCCUCCAGGUCCUCCACCAGCAGAAUUACAAGAAGCAGACCCUCCCGACUUAUCCACCAUACCUGCAGCAAAUCCAAAGCCCUCUCUCUUCCACCUCAUCAUCCCUAUGACCACCACUACCCACCAGCCGACUACAACAUUUCAUGACCCGAACGAGAAAAACCAUGGAGAGCUGUUGAACCGGUUCAUGGCCCAACCAUAUUCACCAAACUCGACUUACGAAACGCAUACCAUCUUCUCUGCAUCCGUCGGGGAUGAAUGGAAGACGGCUUUCAAGACACCCAUAGGACACUUUGAAUAUUUAGUCAUGCCAUUCAAUUUGUUUUUCAGGCUCUUGUUAACGACGUUUUGAGAGAUUUUCUUAAUGUGUUUGUAUUUGUCUAUCUCAACGACAUUUUGAUCUAUUCCAAGUCCCUUAAUGAACACAAACAAGAUGUCCACCUCUAACUGCAACGACUCGUGGAAAAUAAACUUUUUGCCAAAGCUGAGAAAUGUGAAUUCCACAAACCAUCCGUUUCUCUCCUGGGCUUCAUACUCGAGGGCGGACAGAUUGAUUCCUCCUGAACACAACUACGAUCUCUUGUUGAUCGAGAACUACUUGCCAUAAAGCUUGCCUUGGAGGAGUGGCAGCAUUGGUUGGAGGGGGCAGAACAUCCUGUGCUGGUUUGGACACAAGAACCUCUCCUAUCUCCAAUCCACCAAAAGAUUAAACCCCCGUCAAUCCCACUGAUCUUCGUUUUUCUCUCGCUACAACCUGUCUAUCUCCUAUCAUCCUGGCUCUCGAAUGUCAAACCUGGUGCACUCUCCCGACUUCACUCCUCAGAUGACUCACAAAAAGUUCCAGCCACCAUUCUUCCUCCCAGUUGUUUAGUUGCCUCUGUAACCUGGGAGAUCGAAGACCUCAUCUGUCAAGCCCAACAAACUGAACCACCUCCUGACUCUGUUCCCCUCAACAAGGUCUACGUCCCCACUUCCAUUCGAGCCCGUCUCAUUCAGCGGAUACAUUCCUCUAAAUUCUCAGCUCACCCAGGUAUCAGUCGCACCAUCGCUCUUAUCAGCCGUAGGUUCUGGUGGCCGUCCCUACACAAAGAUGUCAAACAAUACACCUUAGCCUGUUCAGCUUGUGAAAGAAACAAGUCCUCUCAUCAACCUCCAUCUGGUCUCCUGCAACCGCUUUCCCUCCCUAAGCGCCCUUGGUCACACAACUCCAUUGACUUCGUUACAGGACUACCCAAGGUAUGACCACAAUCCUCACCAUCAUUGACUGUUUUUCUAAAUCUUGCCAUCUUGUUCCCCUCAGAAAACUUCCCACAGCUUUCCAGACUGCACUACGCCUCGUCAAACAUGUUUUCCUCCUCGCUUUCUUGAGGUGUUCGCUUUCUUGAGAUACCUCAAGAAAUCCUCUCUGACUGAGACUCACAAUUCAUCUGCCAGGUGUGGAAACAUUUCUGUUCAGCAUUGGAAGCUAAAGUAACACUCAUGUCUGGUUACCACCCCCAGUCAAAUGGACAAACUGAACGCAUGAACCAAGAACUCGAAUCCAUCCUCAGAUGCUUCACCUCCACUAAUCCGGCUGAUUGGAGUCAGGAUCUCUCCCCUGGGUCAAGAAUGCUCACAAUUUUCAUUUCUGCUGCUACUGGUUUUUCUCCUUUUGAAGUUUCUCAAGGCUAUCAUCCACCAAUCUUUCCCUCUGAUGAAAAAUAAAUAUCACUUCAGUACAACAUCACAUCCGCCGCUGCAGAAAUAUCUGGAACAGGACCAUCAUCGCUCUCAAUCAAACCGCUGAAUAAAACCGUCGCUACGCUGACCGUAAGAGAUCCCCUGAUCCACGGUAUUCACCUGGACAAAAGGUUUGGCUCUCUGCACGUGGUAUUCCACUUAAGUCCAUGUCCAGAAAACUUUCACCCAAGUUCAUCGGUCCCUAUGAAAUUGAAAGAGUCAUCAGCCCUACCACAGUCUGUCUUCGUCUCCCAUCGUCUCUCUGUAUCCAUCCCACAUUUCAUGUGUCCCAAGUCAAACCAGUCCGAACCAGCAACUUGUGAUCUAUCAUCUUGGAGUAUAUGAGGAGCAGGCUGCCAGCACUUUGACGCCUGAGUGUUUUCCAGUGUUUCCUCGUGAUGCCUUGGAUUUAUCCAUUGUGUCGCCCAAGAUCCUGGCCUUUUGUAUUUUCCCCUUGUGAUGUCAUGGACAGUUACCCACUGGUUGCCCGAGUCCCUUUCCACCUCCACAGAAGAACCACAGACAGUUCCUGGAUUUUCAGCUGGCAGUCGGAGCGCACCUCAGUCUCAUCUGAAACUUACCUGUCCGCCCUCCAUCGCAGCCUCUACCAUCUACGAACUCUCCAUCUGAACCUCGCCCUGAAACCUGGACCACUUCAAAGACCCCUGCGAAGAGUCCGAGACCGCAGUAAAACCUCCCUGAUGGAAUCUCAUCAUCUUCAAGUAAGAUCGCUGCAUUUAUCUCCGAGAACUCCUUUGUCCUACACACCUCGAACUCACCAUCUUUCCCUCACCAUCCUCAGAGUACAGACGACUCGGCUCCCAUCCGCAGGACAACUGCAUAUUUCAACAUUGCUUAAAUAAACUAUUUAUCUGA